rnacentral:rRNA from 1 species
GAGUUUGAUCUUGGCUCAGAUUGAACGCUGGCGGAAUGCUUUACACAUGCAAGUCGAGCGGCAGCGCGGGGCAACCUGGCGGCGAGCGGCGAACGGGUGAGUAAUGCAUCGGAACAUGUCCAUGUCGUGGGGGAUAGCCCGGCGAAAGCCGGAUUAAUACCGCAUACGCCCGAGAGGGGAAAGUGGGGGACCGCAAGGCCUCACGCGAUUGGGUUGGCCGAUGUCCGAUUAGCUAGUUGGCGGGGUAAGAGCCCCACCAAGGCGAUGAUCGGUAGCUGGUCUGAGAGGAUGAUCAGCCACACUGGGACUGAGACACGGCCCAGACUCCUACGGGAGGCAGCAGUGGGGAAUUUUGGACAAUGGGGGAAACCCUGAUCCAGCCAUUCCGCGUGAGUGAAGAAGGCC